CCCUUAGACGUUCUGGGCCGCACGCGCGCUACACUGACUAGUCCAACGAGUGUUUGUACCUUAGCUGAUAGGCUUGGGCAAUCUCUGAACGCUAGUCGUGAUAGGGAUCGAUUUUUGGAAUUAUUAAUCGUCAACGAGGAAUUCCUAGUAAACGCGAGUCAUCAGCUCGCAUUGAUUACGUCCCUGCCCUUUGUACACACCGCCCGUCGCACCUACCGAUUGAAUGGUCCGGUGAAGCCUCCGGAUUGGACGUGUUGGCCCUGCCAGGCGGCCGAGAAGUUGGCUAAAUCUUACCAUUUAGAGGAAGGUGAANUCGUANCA
rnacentral:rRNA from 1 species